GGGCGAUUAGCUCAGUUGGGAGAGCACCUGCCUUACAAGCAGGGGGGUCACUGGUUCGAGCCCGGUAUCGCCCACCA
rnacentral:tRNA from 1 species